AACGGGGGAAUCAAGUGUUAAGACAUCAUGUACUAGGGCGUAAAGAUGCUUACAGACGGUCUCAUAUUCUAUGUUUUAAAAUAACUUAACUAGGGUAAUUGGGAACUUUACAUAUUAAUUAGAGACUAAGAAUCAUUAAGAGGAAGCUGGAACUCUCGAAGUAGAAGGUGAAAUACAGGGAUAUCGAAGGGGGCCACAGAGUGGUGAAAGAACAAAAAUCUUUUAAUGUUUAACGUUGAGAAGCGAAAGUAUGGGGAGCAAACAG
rnacentral:rRNA from 1 species